CUAAGCUUGACAUCCUUUUGACCUCUCCUUAAUCGGAGAUUUCCNUUCGGGGACAGAAUGACAGGUGGUGCAUGGUUGUCGUCAGCUCGUGUCGUGAGAUGUUGGGUUAAGUCCCGCAACGAGCGCAACCCUUGCCUUUAGUUGCCAGCAUUAAGUUGGGCACUCUAGAGGGACUGCCAGGGAUAACCUGGAGGAAGGUGGGGAUGACGUCAAAUCAUCAUGCCCCUUAUGCUUAGGGCUACACACGUGCUACAAUGGGUGGUACAGAGGGCAGCCAAGUCGUGAGGCGGAGCUAAUCCCUUAAAGCCAUUCUCAGUUCGGAUUGUAGGCUGAAAUCUCGCCUACANGAAGCUGGAGUGNUANUCNGNA
rnacentral:rRNA from 1 species